GUAGGGUGCAAGCGUUGUCCGGAAUUACUGGGUGUAAAGGGAGCGCAGGCGGGAAGGUAAGUUGGAUGUUUAAUCUACGGGCUCAACCCGUAUCAGCAUUCAAAACUAUUUUUCUUGAGUGGUGCAGAGGUAGGCGGAAUUCCCGGUGUAGCGGUGGAAUGCGUAGAUAUCGGGAGGAACACCAGUGGCGAAGGCGGCCUGCUGGGCACUAACUGACGCUGAGGCUCGAAAGCAUGGGUAGCAAACAGGAUUAGAUACCCUGGUAGUCCAUGCCGUAAACGAUGAUUACUAGGUGUGGGAGGAUUGACCCCCUUCCGUGCCCGCAGUUAACACAAUAAGUAAUCCACCUGGGGGAGUACGACCGCAAGGUUG
rnacentral:rRNA from 1 species